rnacentral:rRNA from 1 species
UCCAGACUCCUACGGGAGGCAGCAGUGGGGAAUAUUGCACAAUGGGGGAAACCCUGAUGCAGCGACGCCGCGUGAGUGAAGAAGUAUUUCGGUAUGUAAAGCUCUAUCAGCAGGGAAGAAAAUGACGGUACUUGAUUAAGAAGCCCCGGCUAACUACGUGCCAGCAGCCGCGGUAAUACGUAGGGGGCAAGCGUUAUCCGGAUUUACUGGGUGUAAAGGGAGCGUAGACGGUGAUGCAAGUCAGAAGUGAAAGCCCGGGGCUCAACUCCGGGACUGCUUUUGAAACUGUGUGACUGGAGUGCAGGAGAGGUAAGCGGAAUUCCUGGUGUAGCGGUGAAAUGCGUAGAUAUCAGGAGGAACACCAGUGGCGAAGGCGGCUUACUGGACUGUAACUGACGUUGAGGCUCGAAAGCGUGGGGAGCAAACAGGAUUAGAUACCCGCGUA